ACUCAUCAGAUUCUGAAUUUUUAAAGGUGCUGAAUUUCUUACUUAUAAUUUUUUUUUGCAUCAAAAUUACAUAUGUGAAUUUUUUAUGCCUGAAUUUAGCUCAUCAAAAUUCUAAAAACCAGUUAAAAAUUCAAUGUCUUCAAAAUUCACCAUCAAAAAAUUCAAUGUUCAAAAUUCGCCAUCAAAAAAUUCAAUGUUCACAAUUCGCUGUCAAAAAAUUCGCUGUUCACAUCUGGGGGACUCCUCCUCCGGUCAUGUGACGCAGACGGUUCACCUCACAAGACCGGGGUCAAUCACAGCUACCAGCAUGAACGACGGCGCUUCAGACCUUUGCAGCGAGGACCCGAUGCCAGGUCCAGUGGACAGACUUCAGACGUCUCUGUGUGUCCCGUCCUGUCCGGUCCUGUCUCUGGUUGCCAGGUUACAGACGCUGCUGCACCCGCACGUUUAAAAAUGUCUACACCUGAAACUCCACCACGUCUAAAGAAGCAAAAACGUUUGCAAAUGUACAGACUGGAGUGGGAAGAGUGGAACCCCUGGCAAUGGAUACAAGGCAAACUGUGUUUUCUGUUGCUCAUGGACUGGCUGAAGUAAGGCAGCAUCAGGAGACAAAUAUGGAGGAAAUAUGAGAACAGAGAGAACCCAACCAGCAGGUCACAGUUUAUCAUCAUCUAAUCAUCUCCUGAAGUCCAUAUGGUCCCUCUCUAUCUCCCCACACAUCCACCAACCACUGGAACACAUCUCCAAAGUUCUGCUGGACCAGCUCAGCUUCCCCUCAGAAGAAGUGCUGCCACCUGCCAGAUGAAGGAGCCUUUUGAGAGG
ensembl:lncRNA